ensembl:lncRNA
UUCCAGGCUACAGCAUGUUAGGACAGCAGAGUCUCUUCCAUCUUCAGCAUGCUGCAUUAUGAACAAGCAAUUCAAGGAUUUCUUCAAAAUUCCCCUCGAGCUUCAGGGCAGAUUUUCUGCAACUACAAAGAGACGCCCAGGAACUUCACUAUCCAUCAAACUUUUCUUAAAAACUUCUCUAUCAGGAAGGCUGCAAAAAUAAGUAAAGAAAUGAAUAUAAAAUUAAUGCUAGGGGAAGGGGUGGGGCUUGCAGAAUGAAUGCCCUUCAGACAAACGUCAGCUUCAUGAGCUAUGAGCAGGCUCCGCGUACUUUCCUGGCAUGCCCCACCCCAGGAUUCCACCUUCUGCCCAAGCAACAAGUGGGAGCUUGUGGUGUGCCCAUCUUUGUUCAGUUGCCAGGAUCAAAACCAGGGAAGGUCCAAGAGGCUCCAUGCUUGGCCAUCUUCAAGGGAUAAACAGAACAGAGCAAAGAAGGAGUUCCAGCUGCAGUAGGCAAAAGUACCCGCUCCUCAUUCCUCAAGAACAACAGUCAAUUUUUUUUAUUUUUUUUUUCCCACAAACUACUUCCCUUUUCAGCACUUGCUUUUCAGAGUACUGUGUUUUCAUGAUCCAAUUCCUAAAGUGCCAGGGUUGUACCACCAGGCAUCCCUAUGUUAGAAGUCCUCACCCUUAUUGCCCCCUCCGCACCGCCCUCCUCCCAUCUGAACCGAUUAUCACUGCAGUAAAGCCAUGUUGGAGAUAAUGGAAUCACUGCCAUCGGCAGAGGGACAUAAUAUCCUUCCUACAGGAUGACCUGGGAGGAAAAGAGUUUCAGAAUGAGCAUUUUGAAUAUUCUCGCCUUGUGAAAUCUUUCCUGUGGGUUAUCACCCUACAGGCAGAUGGUUCAGAACAUGGUAGCUGCCACUGCCUCUUUUUAAAUGUGCACAGGGUCUCUGACAGGCACACAUCACACGAACACCAAGCUAACCUCAGCACUCAGCAAUAAAGCUCUUUGUCUCAGGCAAACCGAAGGUUCUGUACACACCCAGAAGCACUUUUAAACACUGCCCAUGCAACUAGCCACCAUUUUACUUUCAUACGAGCCGGGUGAGUGCAAAUCUGGCUCUCAAUUCAUCAAUUCUUUGCUUUGCUCCCGUUGUUCUUUCUUCAUUGCUUUCCCAUGCACCUGUCCCAAAGGAGGGCACACACACCCACUCACACAGUGCCAGCACCUCCUAGGACUGUGCAUGGAGGUCUUGUUUACAACCACAAAAGCCACGGCCCCUCCCUAUCACCCAACAGUGGCAACAGUGCAUGGUGACAAAAAUAAAGGAGAACAAAGUUUAAAACAAAUCAGCUUUGGUUUGCUCACUAUUUCAGGGCAGCUAUUCACCAGCUGGUGUCCAAAACAGGCGUCUCUUAGAAGAGCAGGUAGGGCCAACAGAAC